GCAGCGGGGAUUGUGCCCAGUGCCGCUGCCCGGGAUGGCGGCGUCAAGUGGGGCAGGCACUGGUGGAAGUGGCUGAGAGGAGGUCCCCGCUGCUGAACCCCCAGGGUCCCCGCUGCUGAACCCCCAGGAUCGGGGCGUGACGGUCGUCCCGAAAGGCUGAGCCCAGCUUUCACCCUUUUCUUCUGUAAGCUGUCACCAUGACCCUGACAAAGGGUUCCUUCACCUACUCCAGUGGGGAAGAAUACCGUGGCGAGUGGAAGGAGGGCCGCAGGCAUGGCUUUGGUCAGCUGAUGUUUGCAGAUGGUGGCACCUACCUGGGUCAUUUUGAGAAUGGGCUUUUUAACGGCUUCGGGGUACUGACCUUCUCAGAUGGCUCAAGGUACGAGGGGGAGUUUGCUCAGGGCAAGUUUAACGGCGUCGGAGUCUUCAUCCGACACGACAACAUGACCUUUGAGGGGGAAUUUAAAAAUGGCAGAGUAGAUGGUUUUGGCCUGCUGACUUUCCCUGAUGGCUCUCACGGCAUCCCGCGCAACGAGGGCCUGUUUGAGAACAACAAGCUGCUGCGGCGGGAGAAGUGCUCGGCCGUGGUCCAGCGGGCCCAGAGCGCCUCCAAGUCAGCCAGAAGCCUCACCGCCUGAUGCGGGGCUGGGCACCAGCUGCCGAGGACUGGGAAGGGCCAAGGCCCGUGGUUCAGCCGAGCUUUUCAACUACAUUAAUGUUGAAGGGGUUGGAGGAGUCACCGCUGAGAACAACACAACUUUCAGGAAGAUGGAGUGGAAGUACCUGCCCCUAUUCUUCCCAGUAAGUACAAUUAAAAUCCUGGAUGUUAUGUAAGAACAGACAUAAGAAGGCUCUGGAAGGUAGAAGAUCGGCCAGGGACCCCCCAAAGACCAAUACAACCCCGGGGGCUAGACAAGGAGCCAGCAACCAUGAAAUGCCAAUGGGCACAGACAAUACAGGCCCCAACUCCAGGCUGCUCUCUCUGCCAAUGGACUGGGAAAGGGGAAGCCUAACAAGAUGGAGAACUCUAGACAAUCACCUCUCUCCAGGCAGGCCAGCAAUGGGUUAACAAGGAAGCCUGAGCCUCCACUGCUCAGUCCUGACUGGCCAGUGACAGAGGCCCCAGCGAGGACAGUCAUGCUUCUCACCACUGCCCACCGUUAAGGAGGCCACCCCAGGCCAGCUCAUCCCGACUCCCUCCUAGAUACAUGGGUGACAUCAAUGGGCCAGGCAGGGGAGCAGCAGGGAGACACUCCUGUCCCUCCAGUGGGGAGCUCUCAGUGAAGGCUGAGUGCAGAGCCUGGUGCACAGGUGUAAUAAACAAACAAACAAAAAAAAGACAAACUCCUAAGAAAGAAGUUUCUUGGCUCCAAUAAUUUCACUGGAGCAUUCUACAAAUGUCAAAAGAAGAUUUAAUACCAAAUCAACAAGUCUCUUCCAGAAUUGGAGAGAACACUUCCCAAUUUAUUUUAUGAACCUAAUUAUUACCCUCAUACCAAAACCAGACAAAAGCUAUGCAAAACAAGAAAAACUGCAGACCAUAUUCCUCAUGAACAGAGACACAAAAGUCCUCAGCAAAUCAGCAAGUGGAAUUCAGCAAUGUAUCAAAAGAAUUAUUGGGCAGGCUUUGGGUACAGUUUACUUGCUGUUCGAGGUCCCCGCAUCACAUAUCAGAGUGCCUGGUUCGAGUUUCAACUACUCUGCUUCCAGUCCAGUUUUUUACUAAUACACAGCCGGGAAGGGCGGGUGAUGGCUCCAGUAUUUGGGUUCCUGCCACCCACGUGGGAGACCCAAAUAGACUUCCAGGCUCCUGGCCUUGGCCUGGCCAGCUCUGGCUGUUAUGGGUGUCUGGGGAGGGAACCAGCAGAUACACAAUCUGUCUCUGCCUUUCAAAUAAAAUGAAAAUAAAUUUUUAAAAAAUAAUUCUAUAUCAUGACUAAGUGGUGUUUAGCAAAAGAAGUCUAGAUCAAAUAUUUGAAAAUUAAUGUAAUCCACAGUUUUAACAGAAGAAAUCAGUCAAUGCCCAAAAGUAUCUGACAAAAUUCAACACCAUUUGUGAUUUUUAAAAAUUCUAAAAAUCUGGGACUUGAAGGAAACAUCCUCAACUUAAUAAUAAGCAUCUAGAAAAACCUAGAGCUAACAUUAUAAAUAAUGGAGAAAGGCUGAUUUUUUUUUCUCUUAAUAUCAUAAAUAGGGGCUAGCAUUGUGGUACUGGGGGUUAAGCCACUGCCUACAACACCAGCAUCCCAUAUGAGCAUGGGUUUAAGUCAUGGCUGCUCCACUGCCAAUCCAGCUCCUUGCUAAUGGGCCUGGGAAAGCUGUGGAAGAUGGCUCAAGUGCUUGAGUUCCUGCCACACAUAUGGGAGACGUAGAUGGAGUUCCAGGCUCCUGGAUUCAGCCUAGCCCAGCCCUGGCUGUGGCUGCCAUUUGGGGAGUGAACCAGCAGAUGGAAGAUAUCUCUCUUCUCUUCUUUCUCUCUCUCUCAUUCUGCCUUUUGCCUUUUAAAUAAAUAAAUAUUUUUUAAAAGAAAAUAUUAGAAACAAGGCAAAGACUGCUCUAUGUACUCUUAUUCAACACAGUGCAGGAAGUGCUAGUGCAAUAAGGCAAGAAAAGGAAAUAAGGCACCCAGAGAUCAGAAAGGAAGAAAUAAACCUGUCCCUAUUUGAAGAUGAUAGGACCGUCUGUGUAGAAGUCACAAAGUAUCUGUCCAAAAAGUCCUCCUAGAACCAGUAAGUCACAGGACACAGUAUAAACCUGCAAAAACCAAGUGUGUUCUAAGCUAGCAAUGAAGACAUGGAUAGUGAAAUUAAAUACAUAAUACCAUUUUCAGUCCCCCCAAAUUUCUCAAAACAUGUACAGGACUGCUUUGCUGAAAACUAUAAAAUGAUGAAGAAAUAAAUAAAGACCUGGUUAAGUAGACACAUCAUGCUGAAAGACUGGAAAACAACAUAGUAAAGAUGACAACUGUCCCCAGGUUGAUGUACAAAUUUAACACGAUUUUUUUCAAAAUCUCAGCAAGAUUCUUUUGUAGAUACAAACAAGAUUAUUCUAAAAUUCACAUGGAAAGAGAGUAAAGAAUUUUUUUUGCUUGGGGGGUAGAGAACAAGGUGGAAGGAAUCAGUCUUUGAUAAGACUUAUUUUAAGAUUGCCACAUAGCAACAGCAAUCAAGUGUGGGUGGUAGUACCGGGGAAGGACACACAGAUCAAUGGGAAGAAUAGAGAACCCAGAAAUAGAGCCACUCACCUGUGCCCCACUGAUUUUUGACAAAGGUAUGAAAGCAAUUCAGUGGAGGAAAGAUUGCUUUUUCAACAAAUGGUGCUGGAGCAAGAGGGUAUCCCUAGGGGGAAAAAUGAACCUUGACCUAAACCUUACACUUUAUACAAAAAAUGAACUCAAAAUGGGCCACAGGUUCACAGAACAGAUUUAGAAAACUUUUAGCAAAAAAUAGGAGAAAAUCUUUGCAAUCUAGUGCUAAGCAAAGAGUUCUGAGACUUGACUCUCAAAGUACAAUCCAAAAAAAGGGAAUAUUGAUGAAUUGGGUGAAGUCAAAAUUUAAAAUUUUUACUGCACAAAGGCAAAGAGAAUGAAAAGACAAGCUACAGAUGGGAGACAAAUAUUUACAUGCCAUAUAUCUGGAAAAGGACGUGUCUAGAAGAUAUAAAUAACUUUCAAGGCUCAACAGUAAAAAAAAAAUUCAGUUAGAAAAGGGGCAAGACACAAAAACAUGUUUGACUUAAGAGAAUACAGAUUGUAAAAAUACAAAAACCAGAAAAAAACACAAAAAGCUGUUCAAUAUCAUUAGCCACCAGGGAAAUGAAAAUUAAAGCCACAAGGAGAUGUUACUGCCUAAGCCAUCAGAAUAGCUAAAAAUUAAAAAUAGUCACAACACCAAAAUCUGGCAAGAAUGAAGAUCACUCAUGUGUUUACACUGGUGGAAAUGUGAAAUGGCACAGGCACUCCGGAGAGCAGCUGGCAGCUUCUUAAAGCACUGAGCAUCGUGUGGGCCUCCAGUAGCACUGCUGUACAUUUAUGCUACCAAGAUAAAAACUGAGCCCAUCUAAGAACUUGUUCACUACAGCUUUUUUUAAAAAAGAUUUAUUGAUUUAUUUAUUUGAAAGGCAGAGCUACACAGAGAGAGAAGGAGAGCUGGGGGGAGGGGUGUCUUCCAUCCACUGGUUCACUCCCCAAUUGGCUGCAACAGCCGGAAAUGUGCCGAUCCAAAGCCAGGAGCCAGGAACUUCUUCCAGGUCUCCCAUGUGGGUGCAGGGGCCCAAGCACUUGGGCCAUCUUCUACUGCCCUCUCAGGCCAUAGCAGAGAGCUAGAUUGGAAGAGGAGCAGCCGGGACUAGAACCAGUGCCCAUAUGGGAUGCAGGCACUGCAGGCGGUGGCCUUACCCACUAUGCCACAGCACUGGCCCCCAGUGCAGUUUUUAUCAGCCAAAAACUGUCCUUGGGGCUACUGUUGUGGCACAGUGGGUUAAGCUACGACUUGUAACACAGGAAACCCCUAUCAAAGUGUGGUUUGAGUUCCAGCUGCUGCUCCACUUGUGGUCCAGUUCCCGGCUAAUGUACUAGGGAAAGCAAUAGAAGAUGGCCAAGUACUUGGGCCUCUGCCAACAUGUGGAAGACCUGGGUGGAAUUCCUGGCUCCUGGCUUUGGCCUGACCCAGACCUGGCUAUUGCAAUCAUCUGGGGAGUGAACCACAGGAUAGAAGUUCUCUCUCUGAAGCUCUGCCUUUAAAAUAAAUAAAUCUUUUUUAAAAAGACCAGGAGACCUUUCUCUCUGUCUCUCCCUCUCACUGUCCACUCUGCCUGUCAAAAAAAGAAAAAGAAAAAAAGAAAAGAAAAGAAAAAAAAAAAAAGACCAGGAGAAGCACCUGGCUCCUGGCUUCGGAUCAGCGCAUUGCGCUGGCCGCAGCGCGCUGGCUGCAGCGGCCAUUGGAGGGUGAACCAAUGGCAAAGGAAGACCUUUCUCUCUGUCUCUCUCUCUCUCACUGUCCAUGCUGCCUGUCAAAAAAAAAAAAAAAAAAAAAAAAACACACACACACACACACACAAAACAUGAAAAACCUAUCCUUUAGCAGGUAAAUAAUUGAAUUGGCCAUGGUACAGACAUCCCAUGGAAUGGUACUCAGCAAUGGAAAAGAACGAUGUAUUGAUUAUGCAGUGACCUAGAUGAAUCUCCAGAGAAUUGUGCUGAGUGAAAAAAGCUAAUCCCCAAAAGCUAUAUAAACUGUAUCCACAGCGUCUUCAAUUGACAAAAUUAUACAAAUGGUGAGCAUAUGUGGUUUCACGGGGUGCAAAGGUAUGGGUGCAGCCAUCAAAAGGUGACAGGGGGCCUCCGUGGUGUUGGGACUAUUCCGUACUGCAACCGUAUCGAUGAAAUACUCUGGUUGUGAAAUCAGUGUAUAGCUUUGUAAGAUGUUCCCAUUCGGAAGAAACUGGCUAACAGAUACAUGGGAUCUAUCUGUAUUACAUUUAUUACAAUUCCUGUGGACCAAAAAUGAUUUCAAAGUAAAAAAUUUAAUUUAGGGGCCGGCACUGUGGUGUAAUAGGCUAACCCUACACCUGUGGCAUAUGAGCACUGGUUUGUGUUCCGGCUGCUCCUCUGCUGAUCCAGCUCUCUGCUGUGGCCUGGAAAUGCAGUGGAAGUCCUUGGGCCCCUGCCCCCACAUGGGAGACCCAGAAGAAGCUCCUGGCUCCUGGCUUCAGAUCAGCUCAGCUCCAGCUAUUGCGGCCAUUUUGGGAGUUUACUAGUGGAUGGAAGACCUUUCUCUCUGUCUCUCCCUCUCUUUGUAACUCUGCCUCUCAAAUAAAUAAAUAGAGCCUUUAAAAAAAAAAAACAAUUUAAAACAUAUGUAAUAACAGUAUAUGGGAGCACACACUUUUUUGUUUGCCUUAGGCUUCAGAAUGGCUCUGAACUUGACCAUCAUUUCAUCCCAAAUUCUUCUUGGCUUGUCCAGCCAAGAACUGGGGAUCAGGGCCUGACUGUACAUAGAUUAUGUGAAGAAAGAACUCUCUGGGAAAGCCUGGGCUCUGAAUGCCUUCAGCCUUUUACUCUGUCCUUUGCAUCCCUCAACAUUCUGUUUUUCAGACUCUGGCCUCUUGAAAGCUGACACGUCCCUGGUUCACUCUCUCUAAGGAUGGUCCAGGAUCACUCACAGCACCAUCACUCAGGAUGCUUCUUUCAGUGCAUAUUCCUGGGCCCAAGGGAUUCCAGCUGUAACUGAAUACCUAAGAGAAUUCUAACAUUCCCUUAAGCUUAAGAACCAACAGGCUGCCGGCACUGUGGCUUAGCAGGUAAAGUCACCUCCUGCAGUGCCGGCAUCCCAUAUGGGUACUGGUUCCAGUCCUGACUGCUCCACUUCCAAUCCAGCUCUCUUCUAUGGCCUGGGAAAGCAGUAGAAGAUAGCCCAGGUCCUUGGAUCCCUGCUCCCACGUGGGAGAUCCGAAAGAAGCUCCUGGCUCCUGGCUUCAGAUUGGCACAGCUCCAGCCAUUGCGGCCAAUUGGGGAGUGAACCAUCAGCUGGAAGACCUCUCUCUCUCUGUCUCUCCUCUCUCUGUGUAACUCUGACUUAUAAAUAAAUAAAUCUUUUUUU